rnacentral:tRNA from 2 species
AUUUAUCUAAUAUAAUAAGUAUAUUUGACUUCCAAUCAAAAGGUUUGAUUAACAAGAUAAAUA